rnacentral:lncRNA from 1 species
CACACACCAGAAAUUUGCCAAGAAGGAGGCAUACAUUAAGUGCCAAAUGAUUGGCAGGGUCAGUAGAAUUCAGAUGGAAGGAUACUUGGGAUGGUCACAGAUGACUUCAGAAGGAACCUUCUUUUGGACCCUCAUUGAUGCCUAGCUCGGAGUGACUUGCUUGAAAUAAUAUACCAUUCCAAACAGCAAACCAAACUAUGUCUACAAAGAAUGUUUUUUUACCCUCAGCCAAAUGCUCCACCUGAAAACUGGAAUAGUCAGCAUACCUCCUAGGGAAUUUUGGAGUGGAGUAGACAGGGAAACAGCCCCAUGGCCAUGGUGGGGCAGAGGGCCUUGUUUUUCAGUGCACACACCCCAAGGCCCAUGUAAGAGCCAAGGGGCUCAGCUUCCUGUUAACGGGUAUUCAACAUGGGAAAAACAUCUAGGGUCAGAUCUCUCUAAGACAUCACAGUGUAAACAAAACUAAAUAGGUUUUCCUUAAUUCUAGGAGGAGGAUUUGAUAUGAAGCAUUUCUCCAGCAUGUGGAACCAUAGAACCCAUUUUUAGAGGAACAACUUAGGAGAUUAGUGCCAUGUAGAAUGUGCUUUGGGACUUGAUGUUGAAACCAGUGUUUUUGAUAGAUGCAGAUAUCGUGUCACUUCUCUGGGUCUCAGUAUCCUCAUUUCUGCCAUGAAGGGUGCUGUUUCUUAGAUCGCUUCUACAGACUUUUUCCAGUACUGAAAUUCUGCAGGACUACUCACCCAUUAGGAGGAGAACAUUGCUUUUGCAGUACAUUUCCAUGACUUGUGAUAAAUGAGUGGUUCCCCACUGAAGAGGGGAAGAUUUAACAGUGUCCCCCAGGACAUGUUUGACAUCUUUUUUUCUUUGGUUGUUACAACUGGCAUCUAGUGGGUAGAGGUCAGGGGUGCUGCC